GUCUCAGUGGCGUAGUGGUCAGUGCAAGAGCCCCGGCUAGGCGCGAGACGCGGGUUCGAAUCCCGCCCGAGAUG
rnacentral:tRNA from 1 species